UCGAUCUCUUGACGCAAUGUUUAAAGAAAAAUCAAAGGAGAGAGAUUGCUUACAAGUAUAUCGCACCGCAUAUUGUCUGCCUUUCUCCGUAUACUGUUUCAUAAUCUCGUAUUCUUCUUGAGACCCGAGCUUGUCCCAGUCUAAGAACAAACGAUCUACGAGAUCUCUCAUCUAGAAACGUCAUUGAUAUAUUUGUCGAUAUGGACAACGAGUUCGCUAAUUUAUCACCGCCACCAUGUGAGGAGGAAACGCUUCGAAUAUACACUGCAUGUUCUCGCACACGAAAAAUUUGGCUACCUGAAAAUUACGAACUACUUGGAGCAGAUUAACAAAUUUUCUUCUGUUACAAAGAACAAAGGCUAUAGAAAAUUCCUAAAAAAAAAAAAAAAAAACAAAAAACAAACUUUUUUCACUUAUAUAACCUGCGGAACGAUGAGAGUAGACUCCAGUAGGACACAAAAAAGAAAGAAGAAUAACUUUUCCUUCGGCUUCUGAUAGGGCCACUGACCAAUCAGAGACAAAUAUCUUCUAUUGAUGUCGUAAUCGUAAUCUCUGUUAGAGACUACGGUUUUGUAGACGGUUUCUCUUAGCCGCGACAUUUUUCCGUGUCUACACCUUUUUUUUUUUUUCGGACCCUACAACGUCUACAACGUCAGAGGAAGUCUAAAUCAAUACGUCAAAUGAAAGCUCUCUCUCUCUUAUCUUUUUCUUCCGAACGUAUAUACAGCGCGUACGUAAUCGUACGGGGCUAUAGGCUGCAAUAUCACUCAUUGUAACCCGUACUUAUCGUAGCGGAUAACAAGUAUAGGUUUUUUCCAUAAAUAUAUAUCUCGCGUAGAUACUAUGCAACAAAGUGCACGCAAUGUUUGACAAGCCAAUUAAAUGAUACUUAGUUGAGCAGUCAGACACGACGAUAAUAUCGAUCCUUAGAUAUACUUCCUUUUGUAUAAUAGCAACCUAUAAUGUUCGUUGGAAGAAGACUUGGAACAUCUUCUCGUUUGUUCCAAGAAACUUCCAUCGUAACGACGCGCGCAAUUCGGAAAAAGAUUGCCGGCGACUUUCCCAAGACUCUUGUUCCAAAAAGUAAACCAAAAAGUCUGCCGACAACAUACACCGAGGUAACAAAGUGAAAUAAAUUUUAUUAGAUACAGAUACUCACCGUGCGAAGAUCGUGAUCCAAUAAAAAGGAUGUUUCUUCUUCUCUUUGUGAUACCGUUUAACGAGCAAGAGCAUCACUUCACAUUGUUUUCUCUUGGAAUAUUUGUUUCUCCGCCGGUGUGACACCCAAAGAAUUAGAGCGAGGAAAUAAAUUUGUGCAAAACUUGUGAUAGGAUAUAUAGAUGACAUUUAUUUAAUUAUUUACGCUACUGGAUGUUGUUAUAUUCGUAAUAGGUAUCUAUAAUUAUGUAUCGAUAAUUAUGCGUGAGGUCAGUCGCGCGAGUUUUACAAGUUGUUCGUGUGUAUGUGUGUGUGUGUGUAUAUAUAUAUGUGAAACAGUGUAUUACAAUGAGUAUGCGUAAUGUAAAUUAAUUACACGGGAGGGAGAGGAAGGGGGCGAGAGAAUGUGUGACGAGAAACAGGAGAUGCUGCUUUCGAAAAAAUGCAAGAUGGGCUCGGCGAAUCAUCGACCACGCAUCAAUCAGCUAUCUCGCCGGCGUUCCGUAAUUGUUUUUUUUUUGUUUUUUUCUUCCGGCGAUACAAAACACCACCGGAUAAAAACUUAUGCGCGACUCGAUUUACAAAUAGAGCUACGUUUGUCUCUUCUUUACAUGCCCUUCGAUAUCGAUCACUCUCGAUCGCGAUUACGUAAAAACUAAAUAAAUGAGACUCGAUCGCUAUCUCGCAUUUCACUCGCAAUCCUUUCACCUCAAAAAAUUUUCCGACAUCCAAAGGCAUUCGAGAACUACGCUCGUUUCUCAGUAUCAAAUUUUUUUGUUUAAUCGACAUAACUCGUCGUCACGUACUACUUCCGCUUAAAUUAGUGAAAGGGUUGAACACGUAUUAUCUCUACGAAGACANUUUUUUUUUUUUUUUUUUUUUUUUUUNNNNUCGCGUGUUCACUCCUCCAGCCGAAAUAUAUAAAAUUUUUUUAAAUCAAACGGACACAGGAGCGCGCGGAGAUAAUGAUCAAGUCCGGAAAAAUACAUACACUUAAGAGCUUAGCAAUAUACAAGGACGUAUGUAACAUAAGGCGCAAUCCCGCGUCGAGGGAUUGCGAUAAUUAAUUCGUUCUGCUCGACGAAUCAAAAGUACAGUUUGAACUCCCUUAAAUAUCGACUUGUUUUUUUUCCGAGAUCGAACAAACCCUCUAUUCGUAACUUUCCCUCGAUUUCCGAUCAAUACGCAGAAUGAAAGUGCAUGUUCAUUGUGUAUUGGUCGUUUUCGUUUUACACAUUAACAAAUUACACGUAGUUUCACGUUUAAGAAAGUGAUUCAGAAACAAAGAAUGCAAGAAUUUAGAAGACUUUUAUAGUGAAAUUAUUUGUAUCGUUGUCCUUGUGUGUAAUACACCGCGAUUGAUCAUUUUAAAUUUUUUAUUCGAACAACCAACAUAAACACAAUUGUAUCAAAACAGAAGGACAUACGAUUGGAUUUAAAAAGAAAAACGUGUAUAAAAAAUCUGAUGCUGAUUUUUCAUGUAACGACAUACGUGUUAGAAUCAUCUACAAGUGUUUGUGCUCGAUUCGUUUCUAUGUCUAUCAAAAGUUUUGUUUACAACGGCGAUCCCAGAAAUUAUUUACGACCGGUUACAAAGCUACAUCAGGACUGAGACGCGUCAAAAAAUCAUCUUAUUAUUAUAAUAAUAAUAAUCUAUGUACGCACCAGCAUACAUAAAUUUUACAAGUGCACGAGACGCUGAAUUAUACAGUCGAUAACUUACCGACUAAUAAGAUAUAAAAUAAUUAUUAUACGCACUUAGAAAGUACGUCGCAUGUAAUAAAAACAUGUUUUACGGGGUAACGACAAUUGUUACACAAGAAUUUUACAUAUUUGCAUACUAAUAUUACAUACAAAAAAAGAAAAAACAAAGUCAUAAAUACAAGUAGAUACGUAUAGGCCGUUAUUCAUAUAGUCGGAUCUUGUGUAAAUAAAAUCAAUCUGUGAACGUUUGAUGAAAAAAUUUGGUGCGGGCAUUAUUUGACAAAAUCUAUUCUCGACAGGUUUGACCAUCAGAAUUAUUUAUAAAUCGUCGCUAAGUUCAUCUUAGAGAUAAACCAUCUCAUCUCAUUGUGGCUACACAUUCAUCUGACAAUCAACUUAAAUAUAAAGAACUAUGAGAAUACCGGCCAUAAAUCUUUUAUUAAAAAAAAAAAAAAAUUUACAAAAAACCCUUUCGAAAGAGAUACAUAACAACACAAUAAAAUACAAGAGAAAAGGAAAAUAUAUGUAUAAACAAAAGGAAUAUUUAUAUUACUUUAGCUCCAGGAGUGAAACUACUUUUAAUAUUGCAUUUUUAAGUCCAUAUGAUGAAGACCACUUCAAUCCUGUAUUGUCCAAGUCACACAUACUCGCUCGCUCGCUCGCUCGCUCACUCACUCACUUACACACACAUACAAUAUUGCAAUACGUUUGCACUUUGCUGACCAGUUUUGACGCAACUUUUUGUAUUUUAUUAUUUACUACAAGACUAAACAAAAAAUUUUAAAUUUUCAUCUAAUAAAAAUGUAAAACACAAAAUAAUUUAAAAGAAACUUAACAGAGAUAUCAAAAAAAAAUUUCAACAUAAAACAACUCAGAUUUCAUAUUUCAAAAAUCAAUUUGGACAAUAGAAGAUUAAGUUGUUUAAACUUGCGCGCUAGAGAGUGUAUACAAUAUAAAAAGAUAUAUCACAAUACGUUUCUUUUGUCGUUUUUCUCAAUUACAAAUUAGAAAAUAACUAUUCAACGUAAUAGCAGAUUUCUGUGACUCUUUUAUGCUUCAAAAAAAAAAAAAAAA